rnacentral:rRNA from 1 species
AUGGCCUCCGGCGAAGGCACCGGAGAUUCGAAGGCUGCGGGGGCAGGGAUGGAGGUGCCGGAGGUGGAGUUGUGCCUCGAUCUCACGAGCUGCCAGCUGCAUGAUCUGAGUGAGGUGGAGAUCCCGCCCACCCUGGAGGAGCUGGACCUUACGGCGAACCGUCUCACCGCAGUCGACCCCCGGAUCAGCCACCUCCCUCGCCUCCGCAAACUCUCGUUCCGCCAGAAUCUCCUCGACGACGACGCCGUCGCGCCCCUCUUCACCUGGGAUGCCAUCGCUGGCUUACAGGAGAUAGUCCUUAGAGAUAACAAGCUUACAAAGAUCCCCGAUGCCAGCAUCUUCAAGGGUCUUCUGGUGUUUGAUGUUUCUUUCAAUGAGUUGUCGUCCUUAAAUGGUUUAUCCAAGGUUUCCAGCACAGUGAAAGAACUCUACUUUUCGAAGAAUGAGGUUCCAAAGAUGGAAGAACUUGAACAUUUCCAUGCAUUAGAAUUGCUUGAACUUGGUAGCAACAGAUUAAGGGUGAUGGAAAAUCUGGAAACUUUGACAAAUCUACAGGAGUUAUGGCUCGGAAGAAACCGGAUCCGGACUAUCAACUUAUGUGGGUUGAAAUCAAUCAAAAAAAUAAGUCUGCAAAGCAACAGGCUAACUUCAAUGAAUGGCUUACAAGAAUGUGUUGCGUUAGAGGAACUGUAUCUCAGCCAUAAUGGAAUCCAAAAGAUGGAAGGCCUUUCUAUGUUACAGAACCUUCGUGUUUUAGAUGUUUCAUCUAACAAACUAACUGCUAUCGAAGAUAUUGAGCCAUUAACCAGGUUAGAGGACUUGUGGUUGAAUGACAACCAAAUACCAUCACUGUCUGGGAUAGAAUCUGCUUUGUCUGGUUCACGAGAGAAACUGACCACCAUAUAUCUUGAGAGAAAUCCUUGUGCAAAAACUCCCAACUAUUCAUCCACAUUGAAGGAAAUAUUUCCAAAUCUUGAGCAAAUUGAUUCAGAUAUGCUAGCGUGA